rnacentral:rRNA from 1 species
AAAUUGAAGAGUUUGAUCAUGGCUCAGAUUGAACGCUGGCGGCAGGCCUAACACAUGCAAGUCGAACGGUAACAGGAAGCAGCUUGCUGCUUUGCUGACGAGUGGCGGACGGGUGAGUAAUGUCUGGGAAACUGCCUGGUGGAGGGGGAUAACUACUGGAAACGGUAGCUAAUACCGCAUAACGUCGCAAGACCAAAGAGGGGGACCUUCG